UGUAUGUUAUUAUACCAAUGCAAUGCCGGAAGAACGGAAGAAUUUAUGGCGAUUCGAUGGUUCGGCUGUGUGACCCUGCAAACCUUAUAACUCGUGUAACCUGCCUUUUCGUCCACGAUCGUCUGGUAAUUUAAUCUUCGCUUUAAAUUACGAUGUUCCUGUUGCUACGAUGUUAGUUCUCGUUCUCGUAACGAGUGACUUCGUUCUAAUAAGUGUAAUCAGCCAAGGUUUCUUGACGUCGAAUGAAAUUAUCGGAACAAUGUUGAUUUCUCGAUCGAAAAAAAAAAAAAAGAAGAAGGAAAAAUAUCGAUCUGAUCGUAUCACGCCGGUUAAAGACGUUCCGUUGGAAACAUUGCAAAUUUUCAUCAGUAUCUGCAAAUACUGAUGUAAUUUAAUCGUUAACAUAAUCAGCUUCUGCAACGCUAUUUUAAACAUCACACGGCCUGUGAAAAUGGCGUGUCAGUUCGUAGUGCACUUGGGUGCAGGUAAUCAACAAGAGAUUUAAUGUGCAUCGGUGACAGAUUUGGAUAAGCUCCAACUUCUUAAUGAUGAUGGACAUUCUCUAACUGUGUCUGCCAACAAAGAUGUCACGUUCAAUUAAAACUAUACCGUGUCUUCAGGACCUUGUGAACCGUCUUCUCAUCGAUUAUGAUCAGUGGUGUCUUGAAAAUUCGCCUGACCUCGUUUAAUUUAUACUUGACCGUAUGUAUUAAAAAACGUGUCGAAGUAUGUAAUAAAAGCAUGGUAUAACUACUGUUUGAUUGUAUAGAAUCGAAAAGAAACAGCCGUCUGAAAUUUAAA